GUCUUUAAUUUGAGAAAAUUUUGCAGGUUUCAGGUUUGAAGUCUAUUACUUCUAAGCACUUGGCUUUGACAAGCCAAGUCAUCAGUUUCACAUACACUAUAAUUCCUGAAAUCAAGAGGAUACUUUUUCUGAAAGUGCCGGAGACACACAAGGGAUUGCUAAUGCUGGAGGUUGAUCGAGUAGCACAGGACUACAAAGUUCAUCGUGAUGAAAUACAUUCCAAGUUGGUACAGAUAAUGCGGGAAAGAUUGCUGGUACACCUUCGGAGUUUGCCACAAAUUGUUGAGAGUUGGAAUAGGCAGGAAGAUACUGACUCACAGCCAAGUCAGUAUGCUCGUUCAAUCACAAAGGUAGAAGCUUGUCUGUGAUAUGUCUGA